rnacentral:rRNA from 1 species
UACGAAGGGUGCGAGCGUUGUUCGGAAUUACUGGGCGUAAAGGGUUUGUAGGCUGGAAGAUAAGUCAAGUGUGAAAUCCCCGAGCUUAACUUGGGACGUGCAUUUGAAACUAUUUUUCUUGAGUAUUGGAGAGGGUGGUGGAAUUGUUGGUGUAGGAGUGACAUCCGUAGAGAUCAGCAGGAACAUCAGAGGCGAAGGCGACCACCUGGCCGAUUACUGACGCUGAGGAACGAAAGCGUGGGGAGCAAACAGG